rnacentral:rRNA from 1 species
UACGAGGGGGCGAGCGUUGUUCGGAAUUAUUGGGCGUAAGGGUGCGUAGGCGGCCUGACAAGUCUGAUGUGAAAUCCCUGGGCUCAACCCAGGCCUGCAUCGGAAACUGUCGGCUUGAGUAUGGGAGAGGUGAGUGGAAUUUCCGGUGUAGCGGUGAAAUGCGUAGAUAUCGGAAGGAACACCUGUGGCGAAAGCGGCUCACUGGACCAUUACUGACGCUGAGGCACGAAGCUAG